CCCCCCCCCCCCCCCCCCCCCCCCCCCCCCCCCCCCCCCCCCCCCCCCCCCCCCCCCCCCCCCCCCCCCCCCCCCCCCCCCCCCCCCCCCCCACAACCUCCCUGCCCCCCCUGCUGCAGGUGGGACCCCCAAACCCCCCAGUAACCCCCAGCUGCCCCUCCCCCCAGGUGGCCAAGGUCCUGGACCCCCCCGAGUACCAGGAGAGAAUCGUCCCCGUCCUCGUCCGGCUCUUCUCGUCCCCGGAGCGGGGCCUGCGCCUGCGGCUGCCCCCCCCCCCCCCCCCCCCCCCCCCCCCCCCCCCCCCCCCCCCCCCCCCCCCCCCCCCCCCCCGCACUGGGAGCACUGUGAGGGGGCUGGGAGGGACUGGGAUGGCACUGGGAGGCACUGGGAAGGAGUAUGAUGGAACUGGGAGGGAGUGGGAUGGCACUGAGAGGGACUGGGAGCACUGGGAAAGGGCUGGGAUGGACUGGGAAGGACUGAGAGGAGACUGGGAUGGGAUUGGGAGAAACUGGAGGGGACUGGGAGGGGGCUGGGAUGGCAUUGGGAGCACUUUGAUGGGACUGGGAGGGACUGGGAGAGUCUGGGAAUGGACUCAGGACUGGUAGAGAGUGGAAGAAACUGAGGGGAUGGUGCUGGGAGGGGUCCAUGGGUUUAGGGGGGCCUGGGAGCACUGGGAUGGCACUGGGAGGGGCCUGGGAUGGCAUUGGGAGGGACUGGGAUGGGACUGGGAUGGCACUGGGAUGGAACUGGGAUGGCAUUGGGAGGGACUUGAGAGGACUGGGAUGGCACUGGGAGGCACUGGGAGCACUAGGAUGGCACUGGGAGGGCACUGGAAUGGCACUGGGAGGCACUGGGAGGCACUGGGAUGGCACUGGGAUGGCACUAGGAGGGACUGGGAGGGAUUGGGAUGGUACUGGGAGCACUGGGAUGGCACUAGGAGGGACUGGGAGCACUGUGAGGCACUGGGAUGGCACUGGGAGCACUGGGAUGACACUGGGAGGCACUGGGAUGGCACUGGGAGGGACUGGGAGGGAUUGGGAUGGCACUAGGGGGCACUGGGAGCACUGGGAUGGCACUGUGAGGCACUGGGAGGGACUGGGAUGGCAUUGGGAGGGGGCUGGGAUGGC
rnacentral:lncRNA from 12 species